UUUUUUUUAAACAGGGUGUCUCUAUGCAGUUCAGGCUGGUCUUGAGCUCAUUUUGUAGCCCAGGCUGGUCUCAAACUCACAAUGAUCCUCCUGCCUCAGCCUUGAGAGUGCUGGGAUUUCAGGGAUGAGCCACCACACCCCGCUGAUGAUCACUUUUUGUACAAGGGAGGGUGACUCUCUGAAGUUGGGUUUUGAUUCCAACAGAAGACAGCUGGUCUUCGGGGGUGGUGGUGGAAGAUCUCAAAUGCAGAGGGUAUUGGUAAUAGUUUGUCCUUAUGGAAAAUACCAGAAGUAAUCAUAGAAGCAAUUCCCAGGCCAAAAGCACUGAGAGAAACAGCCAGUCACUGCUGCAGCGGACCGGCUCAUGGUGGUGCUGGGGAAAAGGAAGCGCAGUGAAUAGCCCAUUGUGGUAAUCACGCUACUCAGGAUCUGUAGCCUGCUGUCAGUGGUUUUGUCUUUCAGGACAGAGAAAUUCUCUCAGCUUCUGCUGAUGCAAGGCUUCCAACCCGUGAGCGUCUCCAGAGGAGGACCAGGCCCCUACAAAUCACCAGACAGUAAGUCACAGUGCUCUGUGUGUGUCCAAGGAAUCCGAUGCCUUUGGAGCUGGUUGGGACGUAUCUCAUUCAGGAAGUUCUUCCUUGAUAAGUGCUGGGGCCAUGCACCUCCCAGAACUUCUUGGACUGCUGGGCUGAGGGCAGCAUCGCUUUGCGUGAGGGAUGCCAGGUCAAAGGAUCUUGCCAAGUUGCCCGGGCUGGCUUCUAACUCGAUCUGAAGGAAGAUGGUGGGGGAGACGUGGAGAAGGAAAGAGUACAGUCCACCGGCAAGGAAGCACCAUCUCUGACCUGAAUGUCCCUUGUUGCGUGUGUCAAAAACUGAAGGCUAGAGUUUAGACUUCCUGAACAAAAUGAAGAGUAUGGCUCCUUGUUCAUUUCAAAAGCUGUGAGGUAGAACAGAAGCAACAAAGAUAGGUAGAAAGGGAGAAGGCAAACCAGUCUGAACAACUGUACCUCUAAGAAGACUGCAACUUGAGGACACGGCUGAAGCUCCCCGACACUGUAUCAGCCAUUCCCUUGGUUACUGAGAUUCCUUUCCUUCCAUCACACCCAAAAUUCCUCAAGGAUCCUCUGCAUCCGGAGCUGGGGGUGUAGCUCAGUGGCACCGCACCUGUCUGCCCUGAUAUAUAUAUAUUUUAAAAAACUACGUCUAUAAAUUGGCUUAGUUGAAAAAGUAAACAGCAGGAACCUGAUUUCAGUAUAAAGGUCAGGUCAAGAGAAUUCAAAUUACUCAUCUUUUUAAAAGGUGGGCUCACUUGCAAAGUGAGCCAAUUCCCUUUUUGGGAGACUAUAUCACCUUUCCCUGGGGCUUCUCACAACUCAAGGGAAGUAUAAAUGCUCUCAGUUCCAGGAAAUAGCGUUUCUCUGAAAUGUUCCUUUCUCUGAAUGCCUGCACUCCACACCUGAGCGUGUGAUGUGAAAUUCUGCCCAUUAAACCUUUUCUGUGCUUCUCA